CUACGGGAUGCUGCAGUAAGGAAUAUUGCGCAAUGGAGGCAACUCUGACGCAGCCAUGCCGCGUGCAGGAAGAAGGCCUUAUGGUUCGUAAACUGCUUUUAUUUAGGAAUAAACCCCCGAACGUGUUCGGGGCUGAAGGUACUAAACGAAUAAGCACCGGCUAACUCCGUGCCAACAGCCGCGGUAAUACGGAGGGUGCAAGCGUUAUCCGGAGUUAUUGGGUGUAAAGGGUGCGCAGGCGGGCUAUUAAGUCAGUGGUGAAAUCCCGGGGCUCAACUCCGGAACUGCCAUUGAUACUGAUAGUCUUGAGUUUGGUUGAAGUGGGCGGAAUGUAGCAUGUAGCGGUGAAAUGCAUAGAUAUGCUACAGAACACCAAUCGCGAAGGCAGCUCACUAAGCCAAAACUGACGCUCAUGCACGAAAGCGUGGGGAUCAAACAGGAUUAGAUACCCCGGUAGUC
rnacentral:rRNA from 1 species